rnacentral:lncRNA from 1 species
CCGAGUUUAGUGGUAAAUCGUCGAGUUGAGGCGGAGAUAGUCAGUAUUGGUAGACUGCAGAUCUCGUCGAGUUUGCCACUAAAUCGUCGAUUCCCUACCUGAAUCGCUGAUUUACGACCGUUAGUCGCCGCCUGCCUAUGUCAUAAUAGGCCAUUAAUGCACCCCGUUAUGGAAAUAGGUGCGAUGCCCGCCGCGGAUUGUUCCCCCACGGACCCUAUAAAAGGGGUCCCAAGGGGUCACUCCAAGGCAUCAUACAAGUUCCACCACAACUAGAGCAUUUACGGAGAGAAUCGCUGAUUCCCACACCAGAAUCGCCUAUUCUCCUUCGACAGGAUUUGACGUAGAGCGCGUGUCGUGGACUCCAGAGCCUCGGCAUCACCUCGUACCACCGCAAGCCCUAGUAGUAGAUUCUGUGCUUCAUUAUUUUAUCUUUCUCUUUUUUCUUCUUGCUCACCAGGUGCUUUUUUCGGCCAAAAACACCGAGUCGAUACUGUUUGUUUCAGACUUCCUUGCCUCUCCUCGCAUUUUCUUUUUGCCGACGUUUUUUCCUGCUAUUUCACCUGACACAACAUGCGAGGAUUUUCUAACCUAUCACAAAAAAUCGAAAGGUUACCUUGGCUCUCCGUUAACGGGCCAACAAAUUCUUUGGUGUAUUCGCUCGCGUAUGGUUCACCACUGUUGAAAUUCAUGGUUGGAUGGAUGGAU